CUCCAGGCAAGAACACUGGAGUGGGUUGCCAUUUCCUUCUCCAAUGCAUGAAAAUGAAAAGUGAAAGUGAAGUCACACAGUCGUGUCCGACUCUUCGAGACCCCAUGGACUGCAGCCUUCCGGGCUCCUCCGUCCAUGGGAUUUUCCAGCAAUUGAACACUUACUGAGUGUUGGGUACUGUCCUCGCACCAUCAUUUUAUGGAUAAAACUGUGGUUUGACAAAUGAAGUAAAGCAAGCCUGUCUACCCCAAAGAGGCAGAGCAGAGUCCGAGCCAGGUCAUGGACCAAGACUUGUGCUCUUUGGUGUUUAAUCUCAGAAGGAUUGGAGGUGAGAGGACAAUGAAAUUUAUUAGCAACUCCGUGCCCAUAUUCUGUGGUUGACCCUGGAUUGGAAAGUUUCCAGCCUGGAAUGAUUAUAAUCGAAAGAAACCUUUCUCCUUAUUCUUCUUGAUGCCAACAUGCCCACUUCUCUCUUUUAAAACAAUAGCAUGAUAUCUUUGAUUAAUGUUAUGAAGCCCAGAGAUCUUCAGAAUGGGUCUUCAGAG
ensembl:lncRNA